UACGUGGGUGGCAAGCGUUGUCCGGAUUUAUUGGGUUUAAAGGGUGCGUAGGCGGCCCUGUAAGUCAGUGCUGAAAUAUCCCAGCUUAACUGGGAGGGUGGCAUUGAUACUGCGGGGCUAGAGUACAGAUGAGGUAGGCGGAAUUGACGGUGUAGCGGUGAAAUGCUUAGAUAUCGUCAAGAACACCUAUAGCGAAGGCAGCUUACUAGGCUGUAACUGACGCUGAGGCACGAAAGUGUGGGGAUCAAACAGG
rnacentral:rRNA from 1 species